rnacentral:lncRNA from 1 species
GAACUGGAUCUUUCCCCCCUUUUAGCCUCAUUCAUCUUCUCCAUAGCACCUUGCACCGAAGCUGUAAAGAACUGCCUUCACAAAUGGAUGGAUCAGGAGGAUAUCAUCCUGAGUGAGGUAACCCAAUCACAAAAGAACACACAUGAUAUGCACUCACUGUUAAGUGGAUAUUAGCCCAGAAACUCAGAAUACCCAAGAUACAAUCUGCAAAACACAUGAAACUCAAGAAGAAGGAAGACCAAAGUGUGGAUACUUCCAUCCUUCUUAGAAGGGGGAGCAAAAUACCCAUGGAAGGAUUUACAGAGACAAAGUUCAGAGCUGAGACUGAAGGAAGGACCAUCCAGAGACUGCCCCACCCGGGGAGCCAUCCCAUAAACAACCACCAAGCCCAGACACUAUUGCAGAUGCCAACAAGAUUUUGCUGACAGGAGCCUCAUAUAGCUGUCUCCUGUGAGGCUAUGCCAGUGCCUGGCAAAUACAGAAACAGAUGCUCACAGUCAUCUAUUGGAUAUAGCACAAGGUCCCCAUUGAAGGAACUAGAGAAAGUACCCAAGGAGCUAAAGGGGUCUGCAACCCUAGAGGAGGAACAACAAUAUGAACUAACCAGUACCCCCAGAGCUCCCUGGGACUAAACCACCAAUCAAAGAAAACACAUGAUAGGACUCAUAUCUCUAGCUGCAUAUGUAGCAGAGGAUGGCCUAGUUGGUCAUCAAUGGGAGGAGAGGCGCUUGGUCUUGAGAAGAUUCUAUGCCCCAGUAUAGGAGAGUGACAGGGCCAGGAAGAGGGAGUGGGUGGGUUAGGGAGCAGGGGGAGGGGGGAGGGAAUAGAGAACUUUCAGAGAGGAAACUAGGAAAAGUGUGUGUAGCCGGGUAAGCAAUGUGUUAGGAAGGUUCGGAACAAUUUGGUGGAGUAGGAUUCAGUUACCAAAAUAAAUGGAAUACAUUAUAUCAGAAUAUAUUGUAUCAGAAAAAAUGUAACUUUUAUUCAAAAAGUUAUAAAAACAAAUAUAAAAAAGAAAAUAUAGGGAGAGCACCCUCCUGCAGGCAAGAAGAAUGGGGUAAGGAACUGUGGUGGGGGGUUGGGACAGGGUGCACCAGCUGAAAUGUAAAUACAUAAAAUAAUUAAUUAAAAAUAUAUAAACCUGUGAAGUGUUUUAAAAAAAAAAAAAAAGAACUGCCUUCAUGAAGUUACUCUAAACUUCUCUUUACCUCAACCUGGAAUGCUUUCCUAUAUCUGGCUAGCUCCUAUUGUUCUUUUCUGUCUCAGCUUAAGGCCCAUUCCUCAAGACUACCUCUAACUGCCUCUGGUCGUCCCUCAUAGCUCUGGUAACUCCUACCUACUUCCAAGCCACCUUAUGCCCUCAUUCCCUGUGCUUGGGAUAUUUUAUUAUUUUGCUUCUAAAUCCAGAUGUGUGCUUCUAAAUAUGCAGCAAGGGGUUUUCUAGUUGGGAGGAUAAAAUGAGAGUAAUAUAUAUAAUUUGUCAUCACUGUGAUAUAAAUACUUCCAUUAUCACCAAUUUCAAGGCAUGGUUUCCCUGAAUUGGAAUCUAGAAGAACUGAAAGAGAUAAGAUAAACUUGCUCCAGCACGUCACUGUGUGUCUGUCUAUCUAAUGAGAGAUAGGAGUCAGAUUGAGGGGGACAGGUCAUGUUUCCUCAGUGAAUAAAGAGGAGAAAUGAGAAAAGAGGGAAGAGCCAAGAAAAACACUGUGCGAAAUUUUGUGAUAGUCAAAUAUAUUGCUUGCUUACAAUGAAUAGAGAAGGGAUGGAAGAGGCAAGAGUAAAGGCUUUGUGUGAUAAAAGUAACUACAAACUGCUCUUUAGUUCCUGUAGAUGAUAACAUACUUCCACACAUGGAGCCACCUGAUCUCGACCAUAAGGACAACUGUUGUUUUAUCCUCCUGAGUUCCAGCCCCACACUCUACCCUUCAGUACGGCUUUCAUAUGAACGCUUCUGCUCAGGGGGGGGACCAGACCGCUAGAUUCCUACAGAAUGAGAAGGGAGGGGAAUGGUGUGGUGAUUGGAUACUGAAAAAGUGUAAAAGCUUGGCAAAGGGGUGCCAAGGAAGUGGCAGAGCUUUACUGGUUAGACCCCUCCCCCAGUACUGGGAGAUGGGAUCAUGAGUCACUGAGAGCAUGGGUUUGCACUUGGGUUCAGACUCCGCUAAGGGACCAUGGACAGUGAGCCUAAACCUUCUGUGCUAUAGUUCCCUACUAAUAUAGUACUAACAAGGUUUAAAUCCCUGUCUUGGGGUCAUUAUGGGGUUAACUGGGUUAACUGAAGUCAGGUGUCUGGAGCGCCAUUUACCAUAUAGAGAAAACUGUUAUUUUUAUGUCCUCUAAUACUUCCUCUUCUUCCGGUGUUUUCUGUAAGACACUGCUAUAUUUUAGCAUAGUUUCUUAAUGCAAAUCCCAGAAAAAGAAAAGCUUGCCAAUUUCUGUUAAUACAGCAGGGAUCGAAAGCUGCUCAGGGUUUGAGCUUGAGCAUGUAAUAAGUGCUUCUAAGGGAACUUCAGGACAGUCACCAAGUCAGCAUGAGAGCCAAGAGUCAUUUCCUCAUUGAAAACUCUACUGCUCUCCCUUCUUCAUAUAUGUUCUUCAGUGGCUUUAAAUGGCCUAUGGCAUGCAUUGCAAAAUAUUGACUUCAACAAACCUUGGAGAUUUUAAGCAUCUAAUAGAAAUAGCUCACCCUAAGCCAUUAUCUUAUCAUGCUAUGUAUAUAGUUAUCUCUGUGUGUUUUAUAUCCAUAUCAUUGUUCUUUGCUUUGGUUGAGAAAUCCCUAUUGGGCAAAGACUAGCUUUUUCAGACUGUGAUAAUAGUUUUUAUAUUCCUUUUUUUUUUUUUACAAAACUAAAACAAAGACUGACACUUUGUGACAUGUGAAAUUUAUAUGAAAUUUAAAUCUCAGUGUCCCAAAUUAAAUACUAUUGAAAUACAGCUGCACUGUGUUGUUUAAUGCCUGUGGCUGUCUCCGUGCCACUGUGGCACAGUAAAGUAACUGUGACAAAGAGCACACACUCUGCAAGACCUAAAAUGUUUGCUAAAGGUUUGCUAAGUCCUGCCUGGAAUAACUAAGACACAUCCCCCAAAGAGUUAAGAUGUCAUUAGUAAAAGCCUCGGUGAUUACACUGGGGCUUUCAAAGUUUUUAUUGCUUCUUAAACCAUAUGGGGAGUGGUGGAAACAGUGUUGUGAUACCAUUUUUUAAAACCACAAUGUGAUUAAAUAGCUCAAAAUACUCGAGGGUUUCCGUUCAGUCUUUAAGAGAACUGUAAUGGGGUUACGAAGUUAAUUUUAGGUAUGAGGCGCUAGGCAGGAAGACUGCACUGUGGGUCUCAGAAGCACAGGAGCACCACAGUUGUAUAACCAGGAAUAAUGACACAUUGUGCAGGCUUUAUGGAAUCACGGAGACAAAGUGCAUUGCUAAUAGCUAUGAUACCCUCAUUGUGUGCAUGCCCUUACAGAACAGAGCUCUCGUUUCCUCCAAGCCUUCUUCUACAGGACAAGUGUCCAUCCUUGAUGGAAACGGGUGACAGUGGGGUCAGGGUCUGAUCGCCACUCUAGCAAAGACAAGGGACCCCAGACAGUCCAGCAGUGCUCUCACCUAUGAGCCAUUGAAUAAAUGACUAAAUGAAUGAAUGCAAUUACCUGGGAUCAGGGCCAAGUGCAAACAGGCACUCCACCAAAACCGUACUUGAGCACUGUGCUGGAGGAAGUGCCAGUCAGCCCUGCCUUAUUUGUAUUCUGCUCUUCAGGGCACCAUUAGCACAUACAACAUGGCUUGAAAACCUAAGCACAAUUCUGAAAGCUUGUUUCUAAACAAGUGUGAAUUUUCUCACCUGCUUUUGUUAGUUUGUUUUUAUUCAUUAUACUUCUUUGUUGGGUGGAUGGCGUCAAAAACCUUCUUGGAUGGUUUAGGGAAGACAACUUUUUAAAAAUUAGGCUUUAAGUUCUAAUCUUACCUGGCAUCAAAAAGCUCUUGGAGUAUAGUGUAACACACAAAGAGCUUAAGGAGACAGAGGCUUCGUUUUCUUAAGUGUUCCUUUUAGCACCUCUCUGAGAAUAUUUAGUAAUGUCUUGUCAUUCUAUAAAAUUAUGAAGCAAAGUAAGUUUUAAAACAUUAAGAGCUUAUAAAAAUAAGCUCUGUAUCAUCCUCAUUACUCAGACUCAACACUUUGCCUAAUUUCUAGAGCAGGAAAAUAGAGUUUUGAAAGCUUGUCUGUCCCUCUGUGUUUCCCACCAACCACAUCAUUCAUCCACUUUUGAAAAUCAAAGCUCCUAACUCUCCUGGAAAUAAAUCAGAGACACAGUUGUACUGCAGCUGUGGGAGCUGCACAGAAUAAAAAUAUCUCUAACUGUUUAAACCUGGAAGAUUAAUUGAAGGUAUCAG